CCUACGGGAGGCUGCAGUGGGGAAUAUUGGACAAUGGGGGCAACCCUGAUCCAGCCAUGCCGCGUGUGUGAAGAAGGCCCUCGGGUUGUAAAGCACUUUCAGUGAGGAAGAACGCCUGGUGGUUAAUACCCAUCAGGAAAGACAUCACUCACAGAAGAAGCACCGGCUAACUCCGUGCCAGCAGCCGCGGUAAUACGGAGGGUGCGAGCGUUAAUCGGAAUUACUGGGCGUAAAGCGCGCGUAGGUGGCUUGAUAAGCCGGUUGUGAAAGCCCCGGGCUCAACCUGGGAACGGCAUCCGGAACUGUCAAGCUAGAGUGCAGGAGAGGAAGGUAGAAUUCCCGGUGUAGCGGUGAAAUGCGUAGAGAUCGGGAGGAAUACCAGUGGCGAAGGCGGCCUUCUGGACUGACACUGACACUGAGGUGCGAACGCGUGGGUAGCAAACAGGAUUAGAUACCCCUGUAGUC
rnacentral:rRNA from 1 species